CAGAAAGGGGCGGAGGCGGACGGACGAACCGCCGGGAGACAAAGAGGCCCCGGCUCUCCCGGGGCAGCCCCGCUGCGAAAAGAACGGGCGAGGCGGCAGCAGGAGGCGGCGGCGUCUCCUCGGCCCCGAGCACAGGGGAGAGAAACCUGCCGGCCGGAGCUCCUUCGGGCUCUGUCUGUUCACAAUGAAUUUAUGGGGGAUCCGUCCGGCAGUCGGUGGCCCGCGGUCGCUCGGCAACAGCAGAAGCGGAUUGAAGGGACCGGCCGCUGGAGGAUGCCGAAGCCUCCCGGGUCAGCGGUGGGAGCAGCUUUGCGUAAAGCGAGGGGUACGUGAAGCCGGGCGUGCGGUGCCGACCGCCCAGCAGGUAAGGGAAGCUAAAGCUUUACCUCCAGGGACUUCUGCCCAGAAAGCUGAAGCAAUUGCUCUCGCGUGAGCUGUAGAGUUACGCAAAGAGAAGAAGAUUAGUGGCUGCACUGAUUCUAAGCAGGUUUCUUGAAGGGUGCGGGCCCUUGAAGCCGUUUGAAAAGAAUAAAGUGUAUUAACGGCACAAGGGAGGCAGAUUAAACGUGAUGCUCCGGUUGCUGGAAGCUGUGCUGUUGCUAGGAGAGUUGCCGUCACGCGUUGCAACGGGCCUCAAAAGGGAAACGCUGCUCAGGAAACUGGCCAUAAAUUGGCAGGCGCCGCUGUCAAACCAGCCGCCGAAAGGACAGAGACCGGUACGGAAGCCGCGUCUCUGAGCCCAGGUGGCCGUGUCCUCCAGCCAACGUCAGGAAACUGUAACAAAGAGGAUAAGCAAUUAAUAGGAGAUUAAUAGCCCGAUCAGAAUUAGGGUCCAAAGGAGCCGUCACCGGCGACGGGAGAGCAGCGGCGCCUCGCGGCGCGAGGAGCUGACGCGCUCUGUCGAGAUCGGACGAACAGGUAAGAGCGAAUUUAGAAGCUCUGUGCGAACGAGGCAAUGGGAAACGUGCCUAGAAAACCGUCUUGAUAGUGCACACGGGGUACAGACAAGAGCAGCCGGACGAGGGAAACGUACCAGGACGACGCUGGCAAAGGGAGUUCUCCGAGCUGCCUGGAAAAGGGGGGUGUCGAUACCGGCCGGCACGAACGGCUCCCUUCUCGGGUCGGCCGGAAGCGUUGCCGUGCCGGGGGGCGGCUGCCGGCCUGCGGGCCGGGGCUGCGGCUGUUUGGGGCGCUGCCCCCGCUUUGUUUUCCUCGGGGAGCCCCCCCACGCUCGGGGGCUUGUGGGACGUGCACGUGCGAAUGACACGGUGUUCCCAGCUGCUCUGUUCUCUGCCUUGUUUUUCCAGACGCCUGUCCCUGUUUUCUCUUCCCGCUUUUGAAGAGAAGCUGCCGAGUCAGCGUACGCUGCGGUGAAGUUCUACAAGAUGCGGCCCUCAGGAACCGGUUGACGUGAGGGAAAUGCUUUCUGACCGCCUGCGCGGUGAGGGGACGUUUUUCACCUUUUAGCUCCUUCUGCACGACAAGAGGGAGACGGAAGGUUAAGUAACACGUUGUUUAGGAGCUGAGAGCUUAGUUUGUAUUUAACUAAUAAUUAAGAGACGUGUUGUCAGCGAGAAACUAAAUGAUUACAACUAACCUCAUCAAAUGAAGUAAAGACAGGCCAGCCAGGCGUGGUGGUGGAGUUGCUCUCUAUGUGAGAGAGCAGCUACAGUGUACUAAAUUCUGCCCAGGAGCGGAUGAGGAGCGAGUUGAGAGUGUAUGGGUCAGGAUCAAGGGGCAGGCUGGCAGGGGUGACACUGCUGUGGGCGUCUGUUACAGGCCACCAGAUCAGGCUGAGGAAGUUGAUGAGGCCUUCUAUGGGCAGCUGAGAGCGGCCUCACGGUCACAGGCCCUGGUUGUUGUGGGGGAUUUUAAGUUCCCUGGUGUUUGCUGGAAGGACCGUUCAGCCAGCCAGCCACAGUCCAGGAGGUUCCUGCCGUGCAUCGGUGAGAACCGCCUCAUGCAGGUGGUGGAGGAGCCGACUGGGAGAGGUGCACUGCUGGAUCUCAUCCUCGCUAGCAAGGAGGGUCUGGUCGAAGCAGGAAAGGUUGAGGGCUGCCUGGGCUGCAGUGACCACGAGAAGGUGGAGUUCAGCAUCUUGGGUGGCAGGAACAGAACAGCAAGUAGAAUUGCAGCCCUGGACUUUAGCAGGGCCAACUUUGGCCUUUUCAAGCAAUUGCUGGGGGAAAUCCCACGGGCAAGACUGCUUGAAGGAAAAGGGGCCCGAGAUAGCUGGGUUGCAUUCAGAGAUUGCUUCUUCCACCUCAGGAUCAGAGCAUCCCCACACGAAGGGAGUCAAGGAAGGGAGCCAGGAGGCCUGCGUGGUUGAACAGGGACCUGUUGGGUAUGCUCAAGCAGAAGAGGAGAGUUUGCAGGUCAUGGAGGCAGGGGCUGGCCACUUGGGAGGAAUAUAAGGCUGCUGUUAGAGGAUGCAGGAAGGCAGCUAGGAUAGCCAAGGCCCCCUAGAAUUACAGCUGGCGAGAGGGGUCAAGGAAAGCAAAAAGAACUUUUUCAAAUACAUAGCAGAUAAAACUAACACCAGAGGCAAUGUAGGCCCACUGAUGAACGGGGUGGGUGCCCUGGUGGCAGAAGAUACAGAGGAGGCAGAAUUCCUGAAUGCCUUCUUUGUCUCUGUCUACUCUGCCGGAGGCCGUCCUGGGGAGCCCUGUACCCCUGAGACCCCGGAUGAAGCCAGGUCAGUGGAGGAGUUUGCUUUAGUCGAUGAGGACUGGGUUAGGGAGCAAUUAAAUAGUCUGGACAUCCAUAAAUCCACGGGUCCGGAUGGGAUGCACACGCGGGUGCUGAGGGAGCCGGCUGAAGUCACUGCUGGACCGCUCUCCGUCAUCUUUGCCAAGUCUUGGGAAACGGGGGAGGUGCCCGAGGAUUGGAGGAAAGCAAAUGUCACUGCAGUCUUCAAAAAGGGCAAGAAGGAGGACCCGGGUAAUUAGAGACCGGUCAGCCUCACCUCUGUCCCUGGGAAAGUAAUGGAACAGCUUCUCCUUGGUGCCAUCUCAAGGCAUCUCAAGGAUAAGAGGGUUAUUACGGGCAGUCAGCAUGGCUUUACCAAGGGUAAGUCGUGCUUGACCAACCUCAUUGACUUUUAUGAGAAUGUGACAGGGUGGAUGGACGAUGGCAGAGCGGUGGACUGGUCUACCUUGACUUCAGUAAAGCCUUUGACACAGUCUCCACAGCAUCCUCACAGCUCAGUUGAGGAGGUGUGGUCUGGACAACAGAGCAGUGAGGUUCAGAAUACUGGGAAUUCCAAGCUUCAAGUUUCCUGUGGAACGUUGCGGGAGACCUCGAUAACGUGGCACUGAGGGAGGUGAUGAAGAGAAACAAUACCUGUUCCUUUUCCGUUUCGAGACGUUAUUUUUUACCUUCCUGGUGCUGUGAGAUGAUUUGCAAUCUUGCGCUAGCAUCUGCCUGGAGGAGAACACGGACGCUUUGGGUGCCUCCUCCAGAAUACUUGCUCUGUGGUUCUGGGGAUGUCCAGGCUUCGAGGGGGGGGGAUAGGGGAGCGUAAAUGUUAUGGGGCCUCCCGGGAUGUCUGCAGGUGUGGGUGACCCGUGGCUGGCACAGGGAUGCCAGGGUUGUCAGUCUUGCCCUGAAUCUCUGUCCCUCUCUUGCAGCACCUGACUGAAUGGAGGAGCAAGUGGACGGGAAGCUCCUGCGCCACACACAGAUCACAUUUAUCGCUCUCGCCCUCAGAGACCCGGAGAUCCAAACCGUUCGCAUGGUGCCUUGAAGCAGCCUGUGCUCAUGCGCUUCUCCAGGGGGAAGGCGGAAUGGCAGUGACUGGCCACGUGGAGCCACAGGGUGCACACUCUGCAGCUGUCAAGCCCAGCUCUGCGUCAGCUCACACCUGCGGUUUUGCGCCGCACACGCGGAUUUGAGUUGUCGCUGGUUGUUGCAGCGUUUGGCUUUGGUGAGGUGUAGGGCAGAGGGUGAAGCUGACCUUGCCUGGGCGGCGCAACUGGCUGGGUGUGCAGAGCUGAGGAGAGCGGGCUGCUGCGGGUGACCCUAAAGCUGGAGAACCGGCCGGCAGCUCCAGAGGCUCCCGCUGCCGGGCAGGGCCGUGCAGGCCAGUGCCCUGGGGCACAGCGACGUGACCUCCGCAAGGAACAAAGAGCAGGUGGAGCAGCGUGCGAAGGAAAAAGGAAGCAGAGGAAGACGGUGAGCCUGCGAGGAAGAGUGUAGCGAGUCGGGCGUGGACUCACGGUGGAGCAGCGUGCAAAGGAAAAGCGAGGAAGGAGGCAGAGUGAUGGAUACAGAGGGUUGGAGCGCACCUGCCGGCCAGGAGGGAUCAGGGAAGAAGACACCGGUGGUGGAACCGCAGGUCAGGAGAGCUCAAGGAGGGAGAAAGGUGACUGUGGCCAUAUGGGUUUUUCUAGCUCACACACCAAUGAAAACAGUUUGGAUAAUAAAAGAAAUGUAUGCAAAACCGAUAAGUAAAGGCAGAGAAUGUUUAUAUGCUGUGUAUGGGAUAGACCUGAAGGUAUAUUUAUUCCUACAACAAAGGAGAAUUCGCAAUGGUAAUUAACUGAGGAUGUGAAUUUCCAGAUUGCAUUGGCAACAUACGCAGGGAACAUAUCAGUUUAUUACCCUCAACAUAAAGUGUGGGCUGAAACUGGUAAUUUACCGUUGUGCAGCAAACGCUGCUGUCAGCAACGACCAGUAAGCGACAAGACUGUAUUUACUGAUGGCUCUGGUCGCUCACGUGAGUUGUAAUGACGUGGCUGAACUCACAUACCCAGUGCUGCAAACACAAGGUAGAGAAAGAGACCAAGGGUCCAACAAGUUCUGGAGCUGACAGCUGUUGGGAUCGCUGUGAGGUGUUCUGUGACAAACCUUUGAAUGUUGGAACUGGCUCGUAUUAUGCAGCUGGCGUACUUAACCGCCUGGAAGGUUCUUUUCUUAAGGAAGAGGACAAUCCUCUUUUGAUGGCUGAAUUGAGAAUGCUAUGGUUUCUAAUAAAUCACAGACAUCAUGGUUUUUAUGCAAUGCACACCCGCUCUCGCACGGCCCUUCCAGGACCUCUUGCGGAAGGCAAUAGGAGGGCCGAUGCACAAGCUGUGCUGCUCACUGUGCCUGAAGCCUUGCAGCAAGCUAAAUGAUCACAUGAAUCCUUUCACCAGAGUGCAAAGGCGUUAAAACGACAAUUUCAAAUGACAGUGGAUCAGGCCAGGAGCGUUCUUAUGUCCUGCCCUGACUGCCAGCAGUCGGCACCCGUGCCGUGCACAGAGGGUGUGAAUGCAGGAGGGAUUGCUGCCAGUGAAGUACGGCCAGCUGGGGUGACGCGUUGUUCUGAAUGGGGUAAAUACGUACGUGUUUCUGUACGCGCUCAUUCCGGAUUUCUCGUUGCUGCUGCACGCUGGUGAAAGGGCACGAGACGUCUGUGACGUUGGUUGACAUGUUCACUGUUUGAGGAGUUCCACGAUAUGUAAAACCAGAGGAAAGCGGAACGCACGCUGGAUUAGAGGAGCGAUCCCCCGAGUGCCCAGCGCGCUGUAAUAGAAGUGCCUGCUGUUUAACACUUUCAAAACAGUGAGAGCGAGUCUGUUUGCCGACUUUCCGGUAUCAUGUUCUGGCGACAAGGAUGGGAUGAUCUGCCUGACCUGCCGUGGUCCCCAGGGUCUCUGGGACCUUGUGCCAGCACCGGGGAGUUCCCGGAAGGGACCACGGAUCCUGGGACCAGCUCGGACGCGGGUGAAGCCCCAUCAGUGAGAUGAGGCGCUUUCACUGUCUGGUUGGGCUGGCACGCUGCCUGCGCGAGACGUGGGCGACACGGCGCGUGGGGUCUGCGCGUUCGCGUCUGCGCGUUUGGGUAAACCGGGGAACUUCAAAAGAAAUAAAAAAUUAAAGAGGAAAAUGAGAAAACUAUAAAUAAAAGAAAACACGAGGGAACAGUAAUUUGGUAAAGGUACCUUUAGUGAUUUUGCUGUUUUUGCCUUAGCGAUUGUAGGAUUGUGUCUUCAGUGAUCUGUUGUUGUUGUUACUUGUGUCUUGGGUGAUUUUAUAGUCCAGUACUUACGGUUCUCCAAUUGUCUGUUACUGUGAUUGUGAAACAGGUGGUGGUACAAUCAACAGGAGGGAUUUGGAAGAAAUUCCCCCCGGUUGUAUUUUGUGACACUGGAAAAGGAUCGUUUGACUCGCUGGGGAACAGCAACCAGGGGAAUCUGAUUGAAUAUUGUAAUUAAUGGUGGCCACUGUAAAUAAUGUUAACAUGCUGCACAGGUCUAGGUGGGUAUACUUUGAGAUGUGUAGUAUAGUACCGCACUACAUGUAAUAUAUAAUAAGAUGUAUAUUUUAAAUCACAUAUUGCUUAUUACAUAAUGUGUAUUACACAAUACAUAAUGUUACAUAUGCAUUGUAUUUAUCCCCGUCAGCUCCAUUUGUUUUGAAAAAGGAUAAUCAGAAGUUGAAACCAGUAAAAGGUUUGUUGAAGAGCAGCUAUUGGUGUAGAGUACACAGAGCACACGGGAUCAGAACUGUCCCGCGGUCGGUCCAGGGUGGCAUCCUGAUGUCCUUACAUCGGGGACAGGCUGCAUUGCUAUGGACGGUGCAUUUCAUACGGGAUUAGACGCGCUGUGCCUAAAGCUGUAAAUACGCCAAAACCUUCUGAGAUUAAACAGGAUCGUGAGGAGUCUCCCACUGAGUUUUUACACCGUCUUAAACCGACAGCUCAGAAAUAUAUUAAUAUAGGUCCUGACCUGGAGAACAGAGAAACAGAAUUCUUAGUUGACUGGGAGCUCAUUAUUCUGUGUUAAACACUGUGCAGGGAAUAUUAAGUAGCGAUUCUGUAACAGUUAUGGGUGCCACAAAAACUGCAAAACACGGCCCUUUAACCCGCUGCUUAGAAUGUUUGUGUGUGGAGUCUGGUACUUACUGAUUGUGUGCCGUGUGUCUUCUCUUGUGCACAACGAAUGGUUGACAAAAGCUUUAGUGGUGCAGUGGCUGUGCAGUUACACGCUGCUGUGGCUGCAGUUGUUGAACAAGGGGAGAUGUGGCCGGGUUGUGACAUCAGUUGUGAGAAACUGCAAGAGUCACAGCGUGAGAACAAGCGCUGGUGGAACAACACAAGCAGCAAGGACUGUGUGGGACGUGAACCAUCAGGGACAGAGGGAUUGAUACGGGAUUGGUACAUCAGGGACAGGGAUUGAUACGGGAUCGGUACAUCAGGGACAGGGAUUGAUACGGGAUCGGUACAUCAGGGACAGGGAUUGAUACGGGAUCGGUACAUCAGGGACAGGGAUUGAUACGGGAUCGGUACAUCAGGGACAGGGAUUGAUAAGGGAUCAGUACAUCAGGGACAGGGAUUGAUAAGGGAUCGGUACAUCAGGGACAGGGAUUGAUACGGGAUUGGGACAUCAGGGACAGGGAUUGAUACGGGAUUGGUACAUCAGGGACAGGGAUUGAUACGGGAUUGGUACAUCAGGGACAGGGAUUGAUACGGGAUCGGUACAUCAGGGACAGGGAUUGAUACGGGAUCGGUACAUCAGGGACAGGGAUUGAUAAGGGAUCGGUACAUCAGGGACAGGGAUUGAUAAGGGAUCGGUACAUCAGGGACAGAGGGAUUGAUACGGGAUCGGUACAUCAGGGACAGGGAUUGAUACGGGAUUGGGACAUCAGGGACAGGGAUUGAUACGGGAUUGGUACAUCAGGGACAGGGAUUGAUACGGGAUUGGUACAUCAGGGACAGGGGGAUUGAUACGGGAUCGGUACAUCAGGGACAGGGAUUGAUACGGGAUUGGGACAUCAGGGACAGGGAUUGAUACGGGAUCGGUACAUCAGGGACAGGGAUUGAUACGGGAUUGGUACAUCAGGGACAGGGGGAUUGAUACGGGAUCGGUACAUCAGGGACAGGGAUUGAUACGGGAUUGGUACAUCAGGGACAGGGAUUGAUACGGGAUUGGGACAUCAGGGACAGGGGGAUUGAUACGGGAUUGGUACAUCAGGGACAGGGAUUGAUACGGGAUCGGUACAUCAGGGACAGGGAUUGAUACGGGAUUGGUACAUCAGGGACAGGGAUUGAUACGGGAUCGGUACAUCAGGGACAGGGAUUGAUACGGGAUUGGGACAUCAGGGACAGGGAUUGAUACGGGAUUGGGACAUCAGGGACAGGGGGAUUGAUACGGGAUCGGUACAUCAGGGACAGGGACUGAUACGGGAUCGGUACAUCAGGGACAGGGAUUGAUACGGGAUUGGUACAUCAGGGACAAAGGGAUUGAUAAACAGGGACAGGGGUUGAUACGGGAUUGGUACAUGAGGGACAGAGGUUCGUGAUGUUUCAAAUGCAAACCUGAGUUUGUAUUAAAUGUCUCUUCGCAUCUCAAAGAGUGUCUGUGCCUCACUUGCUACACCCCUUUAUCUGUUUCCCAAAUUGCGAUUUAAACUGUAUUUACCAUUGUAAAAAUAAAGCUUUCCCCCCUUAAUUUUUGUCACAUAUUGUAAUUAGAAUUAAUAGAGAUAUUGAAGCCCGUCCUAGCUGAACUGGAGAAAAGACAGCAGCCAUGUGUAUUUUUAAAUAAAGAUUAAAUCAAGUCUGCUA